CCCUACACCCUACAUCCUGUUCCCUACAUCCUGUUCCCUACACCCUACAAUAGGGGUGUCCUAAAUCUGGCACCAAGGCCAUGUGUUGUGCAAAAAAACAUGCACAAAAUAUCACACAACAUGGAAGAGCUAGAACUGCAGGGGACCACAUUGGGUUUAUCUCCUGUUAUACAAGAGCAGGUAUCUGAGGCUUCAGUUGGCACAAACUCAUACAAACUAGACAGUUGUAUAUUAAAAAAAAUCACCUGGUCUUUUUACAUUUUAAACUUUUAAUGUUCAAUGAGUCUGUGGUCAUGAUAGCCUCAGAAAUGCUGCUGCCACACUUGGUCAUUAGAUAACAUGAAUGUACAUGUGUUCCUGUGUGUGUGUGUGUGUGUGUGAGAGAGAGAGAGAAGGAUGGGGCUAAUGGGCUCUUUGUGGUCUCAACACUGUGGUUCAGUGGGUGGAGUUAGGAGGAUGGGCAGUGCAGAGGUUCCAGUGGAGCGAGUAGAUGAUGAUGAAUCUCUGGAUGGUCUAGACAGACAGGAGGACAUCGCCAGGUUCCCAUAUGUGGAGUUCACAGGCAGAGACAGCAUUACCUGUCCCACUUGCCAAGGCUCUGGACGCAUCCCCUCAGAUCAGGUGAAUGAGCUGGUGGCAUUGAUUCCUUACAGUGAUCAGAGACUGCAGCCUCAGAGGACGAAGCAGUAUGUGGGUCUAUCUGUGAUUGUUUGUUUGUUCGUUUGUUCCCUUGUGACCUUUUUCAUGUUCCCUCGGCCGGUGCUGGUGGAGGAUGGAGGGAUUCGGUCUGUCAUUAUCCAUUUCGACCAUGACACCAGCCGUGUGCUCAUCAACAUGACUAAUGCCCUGAAGUUUAACAACUGGAACUUCUUCACCGUGUUGGUGGACAGUGUGAGCAGUCAGGUUCUUUACAUGAAGACGGUCAUUGGCACUCAGCAGCUUGACAACAUCAUCAGAAUCCAACCACUAAGCCAGAGACAGAUGAACUACACUGUGAGUGUGGAGAUUAGCGGUUCGCUGUCCUAUGUAUAUGCUUUCUGCACCAUGGCCAGCAUUAAAGUUCAUAACAUUGUGGUGUUUACACAGACCACUGUAAAAACUUCCUGCAUGGUUCGCAGUGCACAAAACACUUUGGAGGCAUAUCGCUACAUUGACUGUGGGGCUAACUCCACCCUGCACCACCCGCCUGACCUUCAUGGGUCUGUGCUGCCUCACUCAGGCUACACAGACACAGGCUACACAUAUUAAACACAGUGGCAUUGUUAGAAUCACUCUUCAUGUCUUUAAGCCAGUGAUAUGAAUGUUUCUUACAAUUAUUCAUUAUUGUUAGUUGGAUUCAAAUAUAAUUUGUGCCUGAUGCAGCAGCUAAAAGCUAAAAACAUAGCGGAAAGCGGCAGUGCAGCACCGUGGCCAGCAUCGCUGACAACACUCCCCGAGGCUUCAGCACCAAGAGUGCCCUACAUUGGUAGACAAUGCGGCAUCAGACACGGAAAAACCCUCAACAGCAAUGGCAACCCUCGAAAUCUCCCUGAUCCCGGCCUUCCUGGACACAUUUGAGCACCUUUGACCGGGAGAGCUGGCCAACACAAAGUUAACAAGAUGGUUCAGGACACGUGGAAAGAGAUCCGCCCCAUUCCCCAUCGCCCACAGCCCUGCUGGCAGCUGGAGUUGGAGCUGGUCAGAGAAAACCUCACUUUGCUGUGGAGGGACGGCCCAUUUCCACGCCCCUGUCUGCAAUUGGCUGCUCCUUAUUGGCCUUAUCCCUGACCUCCCCGCCCCCUUGUGCUCUGACAUGACUGGCCGCUGAAGUCAGACUUGGGCCACGAGUACAUCCUCAUGAUUGUAGACUACGCCACGCGAUACCCUGGGGCCACUUCGGAAGGCCACCUCUCGGAAUAUUGCCAUGGAGCUAUACAAUAUUGCCAUGGAGCUAUUCCUUACACUCAGCUGGGUCAGGAUCCCGAAGGACGUGCUCACAGACCAAGGUAUGGCCUUCUUGUAUAAACUAAUGGCAGAUUUGUCAGCUCUUACAGAUCAAGCAGCUGAGGACAUCUGUCUACCACCUGCAGACUAAUGGUCUUGUGGAUCAGAUGCUGAAGAGGAUGCUAUCCGGUUUAUUUCCUCUCUUGGCCUGACCAAGGGCAACUGGCAGGUGGCCCUCGCCCUGGAGGCAAAAAAACCCCCAAAGCGGCCACCGAUGGCCACUGGCAGUACCGGAUUCUUCCCUUGGCCUUAAUGGGGCACUGGCCACAUUCCAGCACCUCAUGGACUGCAGCCUACCUGGACAAUGUUGUGAUCCACUCCUUCACGUGGGUGGACCACUUGUUCAACCCGGGGGAGGUUCUGGGAGCCCUCUCGAAGGCCAGGCUUACAGUUAACCCCUGCAAGUGCCAUCUGGGGAAGUACCUGGGCUACUGCUUCAGUCAAGGGCUACUGAAACCACAGGAGAACCCUAACCCUCUAACUUGGCUGUUUGUUCACUUAGAUGCAAAAUGCUAAUUUGAGGUAUAUUUACUGUUUACACACAUUUUUCAAAAGCUAAAAUGUUUGUAAAUUAUCCUUCAUCAACGCUCCUUAAAUGUAAUUAACAUUAAUGGUGUCAUUAACAUUCUAAAUAAUUUGUUAGCUGUGACCUCACCCAUUAUGUUCCUGACCAUGUUUUUUAUUAUUAUUAUUAUUUGUAAUUGUAAAUCAAUGCUUCAAGAGUUAGUUAGACUCCUGUGUGUGUGUGUGAGAGAGAGAGAGAGAGAGAGAGAGAGUGGUUGAAAGAGAAUAUGUGUGUGUCUAUGAGAGAGAUUGUGUGUCUCAUGUACUGUUGUCUCUAAGGGUUUUGAAUUAACACACCAACAGAUAGUAACUUCCUUUAGCCCUGCCCCUGUCU